UACGGGGGGGAGCAAGCGUUGUUCGGAUUUACUGGGCGUAAAGGGCGCGUAGGCGGUCGUGACAAGUCACUUGUGAAAUCUCCGGGCUUAACUCGGAACGGUCAAGUGAUACUGUCGGGCUAGGAGUCCGGAAGAGGCGAGUGGAACUUCCCGGUGUGAGCGGUGAAAUGCGCAGAUAUCGGGGAGGAACACCAAUGGCGAAGGCAGCUCGCUGGGACGGUACUGACGCAUGAGACGGCGAAAAGCGUGGGGAGCCAACAGG
rnacentral:rRNA from 1 species